rnacentral:tRNA from 1 species
GGGCGCGUAGCUCAGCUUGGAUAGGCCAAAGCUGCAAAGCAGCUUUACGGGUCCGUAGCACUUGCCUUCUAAGCAAGGGGUCGCGGGUUCGAAUCCCGUCGCGCCCA